rnacentral:rRNA from 1 species
AACGUAGGAGACAAACGUUAUCCGGAGUUACUGGGCGUAAAGGGCGUGUAGGUGGUUUCGUAAGUCUGGCGUGAAAUAUCUCGGCUUAACCGAGGCAGGUCGUCGGAUACUGCGGGACUAGAGGACGGUAGAGGCGUGUGGAAUUCCGGGUGUAGUGGUGAAAUGCGUAGAGAUCCGGAGGAACACCAGUGGCGAAGGCGACACGCUGGGCCGUACCUGACACUGAUGCGCGACAACAUGGGGAGCAAACAGG